GACGAACGCUGGCGGCGUGCCUAAUACAUGCAAGUAGGACGCAGUUGCGAACGGGUGAGUAACGCGUAGGUAACUACCUAUUAGAGGGGGAUAACUAUUGGAAACGAUAGCUAAUACCGCAUACUAGUAGAUGGACCUGCGUUGUAUUAGAUAGUAGGUAGGGUAAUGGCCUACCUAGGCAACGAUACAUAGCCGGCCUGGGAGGGUGGUCGGCCACACUGGGACUGGGGCACGGCUCAGAACCCUUCGGGGGGCAGCAGUAGGGGAUCAUGGGCAAAGGGGGGAACCCUGAACGAGCAACGCCGCGUGAGUGGAGGAGGUUUUCGGAUCGUAAAGCUAUGUUGUGAAGGAAGCGGUACUUAACCAGAAAGGAACGGCUAACUACGUGCCAGCAGCCGCGGUAAUAC
rnacentral:rRNA from 1 species